GCAGACUCACUCUGCACCCGGCUGCAGCCCCGGGCGGGUGCUUUUUCCGUCUGCCACAGCAACGCGCUGGGGUGCUGUGACCGCUCUGACCUGUCAAGGGCAACGCAGCCACCCUAGCACACAGGU